rnacentral:misc_RNA from 2 species
AUGAAUAACUUUGGCGUGGUUGUAGCUGGCUCUUAGGAGCAUGUGCACACCCGUCAUUUUUAUCUAUCCACCUGUGCACACUAUGUAGAUCUGGAUAACUCUCGCUCUUCGGAGCGGAAACAAGGAUUGCUGCGUCGCAAGGCCAGCCAGCUCUCUUUGAAUUUCCAGGUCUAUGUUUUAUUACAAACCCCAAUUGUAUGAUGUAGAAUGUUGUCAAUGGGCUCUGAGCCUAUAAAACAAAUA